AGCGCUGCCUCUGACCAUGGGCAAAUGUAGAUGUCUAGGAAAGAGCAUGAGAACAAGUUGCACUUUCCUGGGAAUAGCCCUGGCCAUGAGAUGGUGCACUGAGAUAUUCAAUGCAGAAAAUCACCUAGGGAGACCCAGCAUGGAAGUGUGGAGGUAUGCACCUGUGCUGUUAUCUAAGCUUUGCAGGAUUUUCCAUGACUGUCUGGGCUUCCAGUUCCUGCAGAUCUACAGAUGUCUCCCUCACCCAACUUGAUGUACCUCCUGAAGAAGGAGGUGAAGGAGACAACUGUCUGGUACUAUCAAAUGACACCUCAAACAAAUGCUGAAUUACAUCAUGCUUUUACACUCAUCUUUUAGAGACAGCUCAGAUUUGAAUACUCUUGCAGCCUUUGGUUCUGGGGAAUUUAACACAUCGUAAUUCCUAUGUGUAAGGACCCCUUUUCACUCUGUGGCAACACUGGGCUGAGGCUGAGCCUGAAGGGCUGUUUGGUUUUCACACUCAUUCAGACCAAAGCUUAGAAGCUUCUUGACAAACUCCACAGGGUCAGUGGUGUCAAGGCUGGUAUGUCAGGAAAAUAAGUUUCAGUUCCUAAACUCAUCCCACUGGUGACCUGUCGGGGCUUUGAAACCUUUUCCAGAAGCCCAGAAGGCCACGACAUUAAUCCAUGAUAGCACUCAAGCCUUGAGCACCGAGGGUUGUUGGAACAGCAAAGACAUGGGAGAAAGGGGGGUUGGAAGGACAUAUUUUCUCUUGCAGGAGCUGUGACGACAUUUCAGAUCAAAUUAAACUUCAGUUUUUAAAGACUUCA